CCUACGGGAGGCUGCAGUGAGGAAUAUUGGUCAAUGGGAGAGAUCCUGAACCAGCCAAGCCGCGUGCAGGAAGACGGUCCUAUGGAUUGUAAACCUCUUUUGUCGGGGAGCAAAAGACGCCACGCGUGGCGUUCCGAGAGUACCCGAAGAAAAAGCAUCGGCUAACUCCGUGCCAGCAGCCGCGGUAAUACGGAGGAUGCGAGCGUUAUCCGGAUUUAUUGGGUUUAAAGGGGGCGCAGGCGGAAGGUCAAGUCAGCGGUAAAAUUGAGGGUCUCAACCUCUUCGUGAGGUGGAAACUGGUUUUCUUGAGUGAGCGGGAAGUAGGCGGAAUGCGUGGUGUAGCGGUGAAAUGCAUAGAUAUCACGCAGAACUCCGAUUGCGAAGGCAGCAUACCGGCGCUCAACUGACGCUCAUGCACGAAGGUGUGGGUAUCGAACAGGAUUAGAUACCCUGGUAGUC
rnacentral:rRNA from 1 species